rnacentral:miRNA from 1 species
UUGGGUUGGUUUGGUCUCGGGUU